rnacentral:misc_RNA from 1 species
UUUUUUUGAGGGCCCCAGGGUUGUUUUGUUAGAUAUAGUGUACAGGUAGGGUAUAUGCGCCGCAUGAUAUCCUAAAUACCGCCGAAUCCACUCGAACUGCUCGUUGCCGGUCCACCGUCCCCAGCAUCAUUAGAAUCAAUGUUUACCAGCCCUGGAGUCACGUUUACAUUUCCGCCCGGCGCUUGACCGCCUUGACCGCUGUAUGAACCGCCCGAGUUGACCGAAUCUGUGCUCCGUCCACUCGAAAGUAUACCGCCUGCGGUAGCUGGUCCUGAAGAUGCAUUUCCGGCGUUACCAGCGUUGUUGGAACCAAUGUUAAGCAAGCCGCCACGUAGUAUAUCAAGCGGACCGCUUGGUCCUGGAGCUUGGACCGAGCCACCAGGCGCGUUUCCUCCCGCUCCAGAAUAGCUGUUGUGAGAGUUGACAGCGCUAUUAGCGGGUUCCGUGUCGUAGGUCCGUCGAACGGGCCAGCCGAAGGCGGGAGAGGCAAGGAGGACGAGGAAGGGAAUGAAAGAUAUAGAGCGCAUGAUAUGAUUAGUGUGGUGAGUGGGUAGGAUAGAAGGAUAGAUCGAGUCAAAAAAAAAAAAAAAAAA